rnacentral:lncRNA from 1 species
AGAGACUUUGAUUGGUUCCUGAGAUGUCAUAGACCAGCACACAGAGAAAGGAAGUGAUGUGGAGAAAGAGGACUUUAAAAAAUGAGAUCAUAGAGGAGAUGGAGCUCUUCUCUGGAGGUCUUUGGCUGGUGGUCUUUCUGCGAUUUGGCAUUGGUGGCUCGGGUGGAAGAUCCUCAUGGACUGGGAGGAAACUAAACAUCACCUAUUAUUAUCCCAAAUAGAAGAUGAAGAAACUGAGGUAAAGAGAGAUUAAAUGAAUUGCUUCAAGAAACUGGGCAAAUCAGAGGUUGUGCCCCAGCUCCUGCCUCCCAGGACUGGUCCUCUGGCCUUUGAGACCACACUGACCACAAGCAUUCAUUCCAGCCUCACCUUCGGAGCUGCCUCACCAUCAGUGAGAUAAGCAUCUGUCAUCCCAG